rnacentral:rRNA from 1 species
GCUGGCGGCAGGCCUAACACAUGCAAGUCGAGCGGUAGCACAGAAGAGCUUGCUCUUUGGGUGACGAGCGGCGGACGGGUGAGUAAUGUCUGGGAAACUGCCUGAUGGAGGGGGAUAACUACUGGAAACGGUAGCUAAUACCGCAUAACGUCGCAAGACCAAAGUGGGGGACCUUCGGGCCUCAUGCCAUCAGAUGUGCCCAGAUGGGAUUAGCUAGUAGGUGAGGUAAUGGCUCACCUAGGCGACGAUCCCUAGCUGGUCUGAGAGGAUGACCAGCCACACUGGAACUGAGACACGGUCCAGACUCCUACGGGAGGCAGCAGUGGGGAAUAUUGCACAAUGGGCGCAAGCCUGAUGCAGCCAUGCCGCGUGUAUGAAGAAGGCCUUCGGGUUGUAAAGUACUUUCAGCGAGGAGGAAGGCGU